AUAUUGGGGAGCUUGUGUACAGGCUGAGAGGGAAUGUGAAAUUCCGACCCAUAGACCUGAUUUGGAUAAUGCCAACGUAGGAAACUUUUA
rnacentral:ncRNA from 1 species